UACGUAGGGGGCUAGCGUUGUCCGGAAUCAUUGGGCGUAAAGCGCGCGUAGGCGGCCAGAUAAGUCCGGUGUGAAAGUCACAGGCUCAACCUGUGAAUGCCGCUGGAAACUGUCUGGCUUGAGUCCGGAAGGGGCGAGUGGAAUUCCUGGUGUAGCGGUGAAAUGCGUAGAUAUUGGGAGGAACACCAGUGGCGAAGGCGGCUCGCUGGACCGGUUCUGACGCUGAGGCGCGAAAGCGUGGGGAGCAAACGGG
rnacentral:rRNA from 1 species